rnacentral:rRNA from 1 species
UACGGGGGGGGCAAGCGUUGUUCGGAAUUACUGGGCGUAAAGGGCUCGUAGGCGGCCAACUAAGUCAGACGUGAAAUCCCUAGGCUCAACCUAGGAACUGCGUCUGAUACUGGAUGGCUUGAAUCCGGGAGAGGGAUGCAGAAUUCCAGGUGUAGCGGUGAAAUGCGUAGAUAUCUGGAGGAACAUCGGUGGCGAAGGCGGCAUCCUGGACCGGUAUUGACGCUGAGGCGCGAAAGCCAGGGGAGCAAACGGG